rnacentral:rRNA from 1 species
UAAUACAGAGGGGGCAAGCGUUGUUCGGAAUUACUGGGCGUAAAGGGCGCGUAGGCGGCCUUCUAAGUCGAACGUGAAAUCCCUGGGCUCAACCCAGGAACUGCGUCCGAUACUGGAAGGCUUGAAUCCGGGAGAGGGAUGCGGAAUUCCAGGUGUAGCGGUGAAAUGCGUAGAUAUCUGGAGGAACACCGGUGGCGAAGGCGGCAUCCUGGACCGGUAUUGACGCUGAGGCGCGAAAGCCAGGGGAGCAAACGGGAUUAGAUACCCCGGUAGUCCUGGCCCUAAACGAUGAAUGCUUGGUGUGGCGGGUAUCGAUCCCUGCCGUGCCGAAGCUAACGCAUUAAGCAUUCCGCCUGGGGAGUACGGUCGCAAGGCUG